rnacentral:rRNA from 1 species
GACGUAGGGCGCGAGCGUUGUCCGGAUUUAUUGGGCGUAAAGAGCUCGUAGGCGGCUUGUUGCGUCGACCGUGAAAACCCGGGGCUCAACUUCGGGCUUGCGGUCGAUACGGGCGGGCUAGAGUUCGGUAGGGGAGACUGGAAUUCCUGGUGUAGCGGUGAAAUGCGCAGAUAUCAGGAGGAACACCGGUGGCGAAGGCGCCUACCUGGCCCGAUACUGACGCUGAGGCGCGAAAGCUAGGGGAGCAAACGGG